GAUGAAGAACGCAGCGAAAUGCGAUAAGUAGUGUGAAUUGCAGAAUUCCGUGAAUCAUCGAAUCUUUGAACGCACAUUGCGCCCCCUGGUAUUCCGGGGGGCAUGCCUGUCCGAGCGUCAUUGCUGCCCUCAAGCACGGCUUGUGUGUUGGGCCCCGUCCUCCGAUCCCGGGGGACGGGCCCGAAAGGCAGCGGCGGCACCGCGUCCGGUCCUCGAGCGUAUGGGGCUUUGUCACCCGCUCUGUAGGCCCGGCCGGCGCUUGCCGAUCAACCCAAAUUUUUAUCCAGGUUGACCUCGGAUCAGGUAGGGAUACCCGCUGAACUUAAGCAUAUCAAUAAGCGGAGGA
rnacentral:misc_RNA from 1 species